rnacentral:pre_miRNA from 1 species
CAAGUACUCCCUCCGUCCGGAAUUACUUGUCAUCAAAAUGGAUGUGUCUAGAACUAAAAUACAUCUAGAUACAUUCAUUUCAAUGACAAGUAUUUUCGGACGGAGGGAGUACAAG